UACGGAGGGUGCAAGCGUUAAUCGGAAUUACUGGGCGUAAAGCGCGCGUAGGCGGCUGGAUAAGUCGAUUGUGAAAGCCCCGGGCUCAACCUGGGAAUUGCAGUCGAGACUGUUCGGCUAGAGUGUGGGAGAGGGCAGUGGAAUUCCCGGUGUAGCGGUGAAAUGCGUAGAUAUCGGGAGGAACAUCAGUGGCGAAGGCGACCGCCUGGCCCAACACUGACGCUGAGGUGCGAAAGCGUGGGUAGCAAACAAG
rnacentral:rRNA from 1 species